rnacentral:rRNA from 1 species
UCCUACGGGAGGCAGCAGUGGGGAAUCUUAGACAAUGGGCGCAAGCCUGAUCUAGCCAUGCCGCGUGAGUGAUGAAGGUCUUAGGAUCGUAAAGCUCUUUCGCCAGGGAUGAUAAUGACAGUACCYGGUAAAGAAACCCCGGCUAACUCCGUGCCAGCAGCCGCGGUAAUACGGAGGGGGUUAGCGUUGUUCGGAAUUACUGGGCGUAAAGCGUACGUAGGCGGAUCAGMAAGUWGGGGGUGAAAUCCCGGGGCUCAACCCCGGAACUGCCUCYUAAACUGYUGGUCUAGAGUUCGAGAGAGGUGAGUGGAAUUCCGAGUGUAGAGGUGAAAUUCGUAGAUAUUCGGAGGAACACCAGUGGCGAAGGCGGCUCACUGGCUCGAUACUGACGCUGAGGUACGAAAGUGUGGGGAGCAAACAGGAUUAGAUACCCUGGUAGUCCACACCGUAAACGAUGAAUGCCAGUCGUCGGGCAGUAUACUGUUCGGUGACACACCUAACGGAUUAAGCAUUCCGCCUGGGGAGUACGGUCGCAAGAUUAAAACUCAAAGGAAUUGACGGA